rnacentral:lncRNA from 1 species
ACUCUUCUUUCAUUGCCAUUGACAAUAUCCUUAUUUGGUGUUUCUUUUAGGAGAGGGAGCCAUUUUGGUAGAAUCCUUUCUAGCAACAUCAACAUUUGAUUUGAAGGUUUGUGUGCUUUGCACGCACCACGCAUGAGAUUGACCGACUCAACCUUUUUCCUUUUCAUACUUUUCCUUUUUCAUCCUUUCUUCUUCACAUAUAGCAAUUAACUCAUCCGCAUCCCACUAUAAAAUUUUCUGAUAUAGGUACCUCAAGAGCCUUGAGCUUUGUAGCAACAUCCGUCAUUCUCAAAAUGUAUUCACGCAUGCUUUCAAUGCCAUCAUAGCUCAUGGUGGUAAGUGAGUUCAUGAGAUUACCUGUCUCAAUUUUUGGAGACUCCUUGUACUUCUGCUCGAUGAACUUGAGAAAAUCCUUUGUAUUGGUAGCAUCUGUCUCAGUUUCUGGUGACUCUUUGUACUUCUGCUCGAUGGACUUGAGAAAAUCCUUUGCAUUGGUAGCAUCAAUGAUGGCUCCUCGAACCAUAUCAGUCAUGCUUCUUUUGAUAAUCAGCAAAGAAAUUCUGUUUGAUUUGUGCCACUUUUCAUACUUAAACCUCUGGCUUGAUGUGCUAUCAUCAGUUGGUCCUGGUGGUUCUUCAGUCCUUAGUGCCAAGUCCAUAUCCAUGACACCCAAAGUAGUCUCCAAAUCCUGCUUCCAUUUCUUGUAGUUAACACCAGUGAGUGGUUCAACCGUGUUGAGGUUCAUGGAAUUAGGGUUUAAUCAUGUAACAUGAUAAAUAUCAAACUUUAUUCCCCAAUCUUUAUAUCACAGACUCAAAAAAUUUUGGAUUAACGAGUUAUAUGAAAAUUUUCUUUAGUCACGACACCCUCACACUCAAAAUAAGAAUAUCUGUAGCCAUAAUUACAAUCCUUUGUGGACUGCAAGAAGUGGCUGGAUUCUCACUUGAAAUAUGAAGUGUCAUGCCACUAGAGAUCAAAACAUGGACAACUGAACUUCUUUAGAUGAUCAGUGACAAUGCUUUAAGCCCUAGUGCCAUUACCAAUUUGUAUACUGAAUGAAAAACACAGAGCACAUAUAGCUUUAGCUAUCAUGUGCAUAAAGAUGUUCUUCCUGUAUAGUACAUCAUUAGUCUGUAACCUGCAACUUUAAACAUUUCCUUAUGCUUUCUUCUUAGGGUUAAUUGGUAUGUGAAAGCUCUGAUACCAAAUGUAAAAUCAAUAUCUGUGGAAACAUGUAAUUCACGAUACCAAAUUAACCACUAACCUUGUGACGCCAUUGUUGCAAUGAACUAAGGGUUCUUCUACUCUCUACACAGACCGAAUGCACUGCUACAAUCAAUGGGGCUUGAUAUCUUUUGUGCGUAAUUAGUGAGAGAGCAGGGGACCCUAUUAUAUGUCCUAAAUGGUGGUGUUUGAUAAGGAUACUUCCCAUCAUGUAAUCCUUAUCAAACUAUCAAACUGAUAACCCUUAUCACCACGAAACCAUAUUAUUCAUAUCAGCAUAGAUAUAUCUACUCAUAUCAAGAUUACUUUAGCUAUAUAGUCCACAUACACUCCUGAAUUUUUCCUUGUGUAAAAGUUACUCUAUUUGCACCAGGAAGGCCCGAGUGUAAUCAUUUGCAUCGAUGCUCACAGCCUAGAAACUGGUAAACCUACAUUGGAACAGAAGUUUCUGCAUAGAUGAUUUUCCUGCAUGAUGCUGGCAAAGUUGGGAAAGUUUAUUGACAUUUGACAAUGCUAGGACUGGCUGGUGGUGGAGCAUUCUCGUUGAGAAGUGGUUCCACCUGGUUUGGAUUCGACCAAACAGGGUAUCCUUUAAUUUUUCCCUAAAUCAUAAUAAUAAGGCAUGUCAGUACUUUAGUGCCAAAGCUGCAGAAAUUUUUUUGAAUGAUGUGAGCUAUUUCGAAUGCUGCGAUUCUAUUAAUUUCUUUUCUGCCAUUUUCCGAUAUUUAAUUUGGUUGGAAACUCACCAAUUGACGGAGUUAAGCUAUAUAUGUUUUUGUUUCUGGAAAGGUUCAGUCUUUAAGUGAAGGAAGCUAGUUGAUACUUGAUAUGCAACAAGAAGAAAUUGUUGUUGCUACCAACACUUAAGUUAUCAGAUAAAGUAGCCAGGGAUUUAGGCAUUUUCGUGUUUCGAACAUUUCAAAUUACAUGUCACUGUACUUUAAUUUUUCCGUGGCCACAGCCUUGUAUUGAUCAGAUGCAUAAACAAGGGGAUUCAUCAACAGAAAACUAUGAGAACAACUGGUUUCUUGAAAUCAAUUUCAUAUUCAUAAUUUCAUAUCAUGAAUGCUAACAAGGUAGUCAUCCGUAAGCCCCGAGCAUGUACGAAACAAACUAUAAUAGCAAAGUUUAAAGGUUAUUUAGCUACAUAUAUUGGCGGCCUGGCCUACAACUAGAUAGGCUUACAGGGAGUGAGAGGCUUUCCGCAUAAGCCUGUGUUUCCGGAGUAAGAACUCUUGGGAAAGUCACUGAGCGGUUUGCCCUCUGGAAUUUUCCCCACGAGAUGAUUGUUUGAUAAAUUCAAUUCCUCCAGAUUCCCCAGCUUCAGAAACUCGUCUGGAAUUUUCCCCGAAAAGCGGUUUUGCUGCAACUCGAGCACCAGUAGCAUGCUCAAGUUUCCCAAGGAUUCUGGGAUUGCUCCUUCAAGCUUGUUGUUCGAUAGGUUAACCUCUCGGAGCGCAAUCAAAUCUCCAAAGUUUGUUGGUAUGCUUCCGGUGAGACUAUUAUUCGCGAGCAAUAAAAGCUUGAGAGAUGGCAUUUUUAAAACUGGAAUUGGCCCCUCAAAAAAGUUAUUGUGCAACCAUAUAGUUACAACGGAUGAUAAAUUGGCCAUUGAAGGUGGAAGCUUCCCAGACAAACGGUUUCUUGAAACAUCAAAAUCUAGCAAGGCCUGCAACUGACCAAUUCUCUGCGGUAUGUGACCGGUCAGAGAAUUGUUACGAAGAUCCAAGAACACCAAAUUUGUCAAACUUGCAACUGACUCAGGAAUAGAACCUGAAAGCCGAUUGGAGACCAAAGACAGCCUAAACAGAUUCUUAAGACUCCCAAGACUUUGUGGAAUCUCCCCAACAAGCCCAGGGUUGCCACCAAUAUCGAGGACUUGAAGGAAAGAUAUCAGAGUUACGGAAGCAGACAGAGAGCCUUCCAGGCGAGCGCCGUAACUCGAAGCUGGUAGAUUGAUUUCGGUAACUCUGCCGGUCCUGUUAUCACAAGUUAUUCCUUUCCACAUGCAGCAACGGUGGCCAACCCACGAUGCUAGGCGGUUGCCAAUGUCGUUGUGGAUGGCGGCUUUGAAAUCAGUCAGCCCUUUCAGGUCCAUCGGAUUGCAUGCGUUUCCCUCCGCCAGAACGGUUGAGAGGCUGAUGAGCAGUACAAGUAGAAACUUGAUCAUCAUUUUGCUAGUGCUCUUCGGCACCAUCACCGCCCAAGAAAAAUCAGCCAAUUGUAUAGCCAUUUUAGCCUCCUCCGACGAGUAUUUCCGAGCUCUGAUCAAUUCAAGAACGAGGGUCGCAAAUCUGAAGGCUCAAUCUUUGGGCAACCCGUAGCUUUGACACUAUCCUCAACUGCCACCACUGCUUCCAACCUACAGAUCCUCACUGCUCUCACCCUCAGACUACAACAACUCUGCUCCGAUUAAAAGAGAGGAGAAGAAAUCAUGUUUUCGCGGUUUGUUUCUGUGGAAUUCUGAGGUCGCUCGGGAGUAUUUAUAGCCAAAAAUUUAUGCCCAAAUUUUAUAAAUGUCAAUUUUAAAAAAUUUCAAAACAUAGCCAAAAACCACAAGGAAUAGACUCAAAUACCCUCAAAAUUAAAAACAACAUAAACCUAAAAUCAGAACCCUACUAGAUAAAAGUAUGGAAAUUUCCGGUUCUGAUAAAAGUACGGAAAUUUCAUAAGAUAUUUCUAGGUUUACUGUCGAGAAAAGUUGUUGCAUGCAACUAUAUAAACCUAUUAAUUUAAUUCUGCCAUUUAUAAAAGGGCAAUGCAAGUCAGAAAAAUCAGUUUUUCUUGAUUUUAGUGAAAAAGUGAAGCUUCGUUUGAUCCAACCUCGUUGAUAUCACAUACAGAACAAAUGAAUUAUAGGGAUUAUAAUAAUUUAAAUUUCAUGAAGUUGAUUUAGGUGAGUGGAAAAGAAAAUUAAGAAAAUCUCAAAAUCCAUUAACAAUUUCUACAACGAAAAGAAAUAAUCAUUAGUGAAGAGCAAGCCAAAGAGCUCCAUUGAACUCCUAUGACCGACAUGUAUUGAUUUACAAAAUAGAUUUUCCAUGUAUUUAAAAAAACCAAAAAUUUAACUUAAGAAUUAAAUAUUUGGUCAAAGUACAUGACCACACCAAGUUGGGGAAUAGUACCCUAUUUUUUUCACCCUCCAUGAACGAAGUAAUUUAGGCGCUAACUAAUGUUGGUAAGUGUUUUUGACAUUUUAAUGGUGUUGAAACUUUCCUGGUGAAGUCCACUUUUCGAUAGUCCAAGUCAGUUUUUUACGAUGAGCAGUAGCUAGUGCAGCUUUCGAUAGUCCAAGGACUUCAGGCAUAUUGUAAUUGGGAGUUAAUUUUAGGGCAUUUAAAUCUAUUCAAGUGUGUUUUUGGCUAUAAUUGAUAGUUUUAAAAAAGCUGAUAGUUUUUUUUUCUUUGAAGAAUUAUUAUUAAUAAGUGAGAUGGAGAGUUCAGAACUAUUCCAAUAAUUUAAAGAAUAAGAAGUUUCGAUCCGAUGAUGCAUGGGUGAAGAUCCAACAUCCUAUUUACUAAGAUAUUGAAUCACAUGUAACCCAAUAAAACGUGUGAACACGAUGAUAUUCACCAAAGAAACAACCCUCCAUGUGAUAGCCUUGCUAUUAUUUUGCUUCCAAUUAAUAAAAAAUUGCUAGAAACUUUUAUUUUUGCUAGCAAACCAACAAAAGUGGUUUUAUUUUGCACUCCUAUUCUAAUUAAUCUAGCCAUCUACUAUUCUUUCACACACCCAGUUAAGGUUUGAAACCACUAAAUAUACCCAUCUCCAUGUGCUGUAUUUUCUAAUUAAAGUUUGAGAUUAUGAAUAUAUACCAAUCUACAUUUGCUUUAUUUCCUAAUUAAAGUUUGAAAUUACUAAAAUCUUACAUUUGGUUCAUUUUCUCCUUCAACCUGCCGCACCCAAAUAAAGUUAAAAACCACUAAAUAAACCAGUAGUCUACAUUUGGAUGCCAAGAGACUUUUAUUCUCUUUUCCAAUCAAGGGUUCAGGGGUAUGAAGACGGAGAUGGGGGGAAACACGUAAUGGGAUCAAUGGGAUGGAAAUGACAUCCCCAUCAUCGCUUCAACUUAUUGCGAGACAUAGUUGAGUUUCUCUCUCACCAAAAAUCAGUAAGAGGCGUUUUUCAAAUCGUCCUACGCACGACUUACAAAUUUGUAAUUUAUUGUUUAUUAUUUGUAUACACAUUCUUAUUUGUUACAUCCACAUAUUGUUCCAACCAACAUUUUAAUCCAACUAUGCAAGGCAUGUUCAAUAACGUACUGCACAUUACAAAUCCAUAAACAGAUGAAGCGAUUAAAUUUAUUUAGAACCGAAUUUUAAGACAUAAAAAUUUACGCCCGAAUUUUAAAAUUAAUCCAUUUUAUUAUUAAAAAAAAAAAAAGAAGUAAUAAAGUUUGGUACUUGUCUUUAUAGUGGAUAAAUGUCUCUAUCUUGCAAGUGAUCUUUUAUCACAGUGGUGGAGAUGAGUUUGCUCUUACACCACGAUGUGGGUUCGAACCCUGACGACUCCUUAAUUUGAGAUCUAAUCUAACAAAUCUAUCGUUUGACAAAAAAAAAAAAAGUUUCUAUCUUGUUCUUUCAAUUUGGUUGAAAGGAAUCAAAUAAUUUGUAGCCAAUUUAAUGAAAAAAAAAUGAUGGUUUGUAUCUUGAAAGAAACCAAAAUGAUGGUUUCUAUCUUGAAAGCCUUCAAGUUGCAUGCAUCUGCAUCGUUAGACAAUUUUUUUUUGCCGAUUGCCGAAUGAAGUUUUAAACAAGCAAGCUGCAAAUAUAGCCAGCAAUCCCAAAAUGUUAUAAUCUUGCAUUUCUUUCUCUUCCCGUAUAGUUUCUGCCAUUUGAUAGUUUCUAUGUUGUUCUUUCAAUUUGGUUGAAAGGAAUCAAAUAAUUUGUAGCCAAUUUAAAGAAACAAAAAUGAUGGUUUCUAUCUUGAAAGCCUUCAAGUUGCAUGCAUCUGCAUUGUUAGACAAUUAUUUUUUGCCGAUUGCCGAAUGAAGUUUUAAACAAGCAAGCUGCAAAUAUAGCCAGCAAUCCCAAAAUGUUCUAAUCUUGCAUUUAUUUCUCUUCCCGUAUAGUUUCUGCCAUUUGAUAGCUCCAACUCACCUCCUUAAUUAAUUUAAGGCUAUAGCUACUAAUACAUAUACAUUACACGUAUAUGUGUAUGUAUUUAAGGUGAUAAAAAAAAUUAACAAAACAAGGUUUCGGUUCGGUUUAGUAUUUGUUUUCCAGCUUAUUGUUUUUGUAACAGAUCAAAGUAUUUUAAAACAAAAAACUACAUUCUGCAUUGUUUGUAAAAGAAAAUAAACAUUAGAAAUAGUUAUGAAUGACGAAAGCGCUCAAAAUUUUAAUAAGCAUUUAGACAUAUUGGUAAGGAAUAUGAUUUUCGCUCUCAUUUUCUCCUCAUAAAUUAUGUACUUGUUUUCGUUCAUUUCCAAUUAUUGAUUUGUUUAAUCGCGUGACCAGAAAUAAAAAGAAGAGUGUAAACAAAUAAAAAAUAAGUAUGAAAAUCGGUUUUCAUUGACGAGUCUAUAAAAUGAAGUUCCAAACAAGCCCUUAUAUAUUAUAAAUAACCUCAAGACUCAAGUUUGGUGAAAACUGAAAAGAAUAAAAUGAAUAAAGAAAGUUAGAACCCUCGAGGCUACGUACUUUAUGUUCUUCAAGAAAAAUUGGUCAAAAUCAAAUCAUAAAAUAAGGGGAUAGACUAAUAUUCAAAUCGUAUUAGCUCAUAAAUUUCCGUGUUACUUAAUUCAUUCAAUUCAUUCCUAAUAUGAUAAACUAAUGAAGAUAUGUGCGUCUUUUUUCUCUAAUUGAUGUUGGGACCUUUAGCCUUUUAGAUUUGAGUGGUGGAUUUCAAUUUGCGAACAUCUUAACCUCGAACUCGAUUUAUCAGGAAGAACUCCGACACUUAGAAAGCGAUUUCAUCAUUUCAAACUUUUAGAUUAAAUUAACUUUGCACGUAAGGCUCAUCACAUGUGCAGACCUUUGAUGGUGGUUGUGGUCAUGUAAAUUUCAGUGAAAAUAAAUGUUCACCAAUGCAUUAAAUUUUGGUAUGCGAGGGCUUACGUGGCAUGUACUACGUGUCUCAUAAAUUGUACACAUGACAUAUGACUCAUCAAAAUCAAACGAGUCAUCAAGAGGACAAGUGUCAGCAUAUGACAGAAAGGGAUUAUUUGAUUUUAAUUAAAAUGAAACAAAUUAAUAAUUUAAAUGAAUUGAUUUAUUUGUUUUAUAUUUAUUUAAAUCAAAUAUUAAUUGAUGGAGUAAAAUCACAAGUCACGAACUGACACACAAAUCAAGUCUUGAUUUUUUCGUAAGCAAAGUUUGGAGAGUUUGUAAAUAGGAGGCUCCAUGACAAAGAAAAUGGUCCAUAAAUCAUUUAAUGUCCAGAAGUUGAAGCUUUGAAACUCUAAAGCUCUCAAGCAUCCAAAUUCCCAAAUACUAAUAAGAAGAAUUUCUUCGCCAAAACUUUGAAGAAUCAUCAAGCACCCCACAGGUGUCAGUUCUUCCUUCGUGACAAGCCAAAUCCGUGAGGCAAUCGUUCAUCCAAGAUCAAGUCAUCUCGACCCUUGGAUCAAUAUAUAACCCCUACAUUACACGUCUACACAUUUUGAAGAUCGAAUAAGAUGAUCAAAUUGUAAAGAUAUUGUAACCCUAUAAAUUCAUUAAUACAAUUAGUGUUAUCUUGUCAUUUGUUGCAAGAUUUUCUGUUUACAAUGAUUUACAUAAAUUUUAAUUUGGAGUUUAUUCCUUAAAAACUUUCUUAAAUUUUUAAUAACAAGGUUAUCAUUUAAAUAACUUAUUGCCAAGGAGCAUUUAUCAGAUUUAGCCCUUACAGAAAAUGGGUGCGUACCGUGGAGAUGCAAUGGUAAUAAUCUAUUGGAUUUUUCAUAGAAAAAAAUAAAAAUAAAAAUCAAACAGGUCAAAGAUUGAGAGAAAUGAUGAGGGGGAGGCAGUUGAAUGAUGGCUCAGUUCUUGAAAGUACCCGAUCGAGAUCCCUUUCCCUCUAAGACGCAACAGCAGCAGGCCGAGCUCUUCGAUUUCACAGAGCAACAACAAUGGCUUUUACACCCCACGAUGCCCACAACCCCAAGUCCUACUCCUCUCAUAGUACCACUCGAAAGCCUCCUUUCAUAGUACUGUACCAGCGGCCCUACUCAAGUUUCAGUCGGUGAGACGAAAAAAUGAUCGACUCCACCGCUCCUAUUCCAAUAAGGGUAUUAGUUUGCUACAACAUAAAUAUACGUAGUCGGUGAAGAUUCCAUACAGUCGAUGAAAAAAGGUCUGGUGGUGAGGUUUUCACUGGAAGUCGGUGACCUUGGACACACUCAACGCAAGAAGAUUGCAUGCACGGCCCUCUUCAGGAUGUUGCUAUUGCAUUGCAUCUCAAAUAUAUACUGCCCUUAUAUUCUAUGGAGCAAAUGUUGGUGGUGGAACCGUGGGACAAUUGUGGGUCAAGAAUAAAUUUCCUCUAUGUGACUCCUAUUUUAACCCAAGUUAACAUCACAUAUUUAGUUAACAAACAACUACACCUUCUAAGUUUACAAGGCAAAAGGAAAAAUAUUACAAACCAUUCAUUUUAGUUUUGGCUACAUUGGAGGGUAUUCAUUUUGAAUCUUCUUAACCAUGACAGUGAUUGAUUAGUUUUGGUUAUCUGAAUAGUGGUGUUUCAAUUAAAUUGAUGAUAUUGAUGAUACCCCGUAUGCAGGAAAUAUUGAAGACUACUCUCUGAGUCAACUGCGACUUCUUCCAAAGAAGAAAGUAGAAGGUCCUUGUCGAGUUUACCUUUGGAAGGGAUGUGACCCGAUAUGCCGUUGCCUGAUCAGCUUGGGGCCAGGCGUGACUACUAUUUUUUUAUUUUUUUGUCAAACGAUAAAUUUAUUAGAUUAGAUGUUAGAUUAGGAAGUGGACGGUGGGGAGGAGGGUUUGAAUCCACGUCGUGGUACAAAGGCAACACUCCUCUCUGUCACUAUCGAGCACCGGUCAAUGUUAUACCGUCAAGGAUACAGAAGAGUUUCCUUCCAACUAGGAUGCCAAUCACAGCGCGACACGUGUCGACAUAAGAAGCCAAUCAUAACGCGACACGUGUCAACAUCAGAAGCCAAUCAUAACAUGACACGUGUCAAUGUCAAAACAAAGCUAUAAACUCUCUUAUAUAAAAGGAGAUCAUUCUCCCACAAUAUUUCCUAAUGUCAUUUGUAUUAAAUCAUUCACUAGUAUUCACUAAAGGAGAGCUUGAACCUAUGUACUUGUGUAAGCCCUUCACAAUUAAUGAGAACUCAUUUACUCCGUGGACGUUGCCAAUCUGGGUGAACCACGUACAUAUUGUGUUUGCUUCCCUGUCUUUAUCCAUUUACAUACUUAUCCACACUAGUGACUGGAGCAAUCUAGCGAAUGUCACAAACUUGACACUUUCUGUUGUACCAAAGUUCUCACUGAUUUUGUGCAUCAACAAACUUCAUCAUCGCUUUCCUUCCAAUGCUCAAACAAAAUGUUCUUGAUGUUUCUGUGAGCAGCACCAACAAAGAAGGCAAAGAGCGGACGCUUAUCUGGGGGUUCUCUAAAGCGGGGCGCCCCAAGGUCAAAGGCUUUUAGGUUAUAUUCCGUAAUGAGACGUCUCUUGUAGACUUGAAUCCUUCAGAGGUGUUCGUGUUGCAUACACCUUCAUGAGAUUCUUGUAGGGCCUAAGGUCAUCAGUUGAGAUAAUUGGUGCCUGAAAAAUUAAAUACAUUUUAGUUGAGCAUCAACAUAUUUUCCUAGCUGUAUUUUAAUUCAGUGACAUAAAAUUAUAUUGAAGAUUGACAUCUACACUCCAAAACUUGAAUAUCUCAAAAUCAAGCAUAUGUAUCAGUGGUGAAAGGCUCUAUUGUUUCUAAUUUGGUAUACCAUCUUCCAGUGAGGACAAAAUAUUUAAGGUGUAUAUACCCUUGACGAGAGAUACACACAGAGGGUGUAUACUCCGAUUCACCAUAGUUUUAAGUUCGUGUUACAUGCAAUUUAUCCAUCUAAGUAAAAAGAAAAGAAACAAAAUAGAGAAUAAAAGCAAUCAUGGCUUGGCUAGCCAUUUCAUUCUGUUCAAUAUAAGAGUAAACUGCCGAUUUGCCUCCUGAACUAUCACCCAACUUUCGAUUUGCCCCCUGAACUUUUUAAUUAGAAAAUUAAGGACUUAAACUAAUUUUUUUGGCUGAUUUCCCCCCUACCGUUAGUUUUUCAUAAAUUUCAUCCAAAUUAACGUUAACUCUCAUCAUGUGCAAACUACGUAACUCUCAUUUGUGGACAAAAGCGUCAUUUCACUAGACCUUCAGAUAGAAAAGCUAUAGAAUCACACAUAUUUGCAUAGGUUUAUAUUUUAGAAAUCUAAGGUUUUCAAUUAUUUUAAAGAAUGAAGUGACCGAACUACCCACUCAUAUUGUGCAUAUGCUUCCAUUUAACAGAAAUUUGGAUGGAAUGAAUGAAAUUAAUAGCAGGGGGCAAAUUGGCCAAAAAAAUUAGUUUAAGUCCUUAAUUUUCCAAUUAAAAAGUUCAGGGGGCAAAUCGAAAGUUGGGUGAUAAUUCAGGGGGCAAAUCGGUAGUUUACUCUUCAAUAUAAUAAUGUCAUUCGCUAAAGAAGCAACAAUGCCAUCAUGCUCGUAUUUGAGAUGAGAAAAGAAUUAAUCUUGGCAAUUAGUUAAUGAGGAUUUGCCAUAUAUUUUAUAGAAAAAAAUAAUAAUGAGGAUUUGGUAAUGAAGUAGAAAAAUAGAGCUUGUACAAUGUACAGAGUUGAUUUUAUAGAAAAAUACAUUUCUGCAUGAUAUAUUUGUUUAUGGUAAUUAGCAUGCAUGGCAGUCCCAUUCCAUAAAGAGCUUGUUUGACAAAAGUAUAUAAGGGGUGCUUUGCUUGUUGCUUGGACACAAACAAACAUUUACCCCUUGAUAUAGGUAUAGAGCAACGGCAAUGGCUAAGGUGUCCAUACUCUUGCUUAUUUGUUUAUUCUUUAUGCUAUUUGAAGGUGGUUUGGGUGCGCAAGAUCCUCCUGUAACCAGAGUUGUGAAUAUAACUAAUGACUUGGGGUUAAGGAUUGACUUACUCGUUCACUGCACAUUCCAUGGCGAGAACCUCGGUCUACAAACCCUCUCAUUUCACCACUCCUUUUCUCAUAGCUUCAAAUCCGAUGUCGUCACUCCCAAGACAUGACUCUUUUGCCUCUUGUGGUGGCAAAAUGGCACUAAUGUUUUUGAAUUGUAUAACCCUCAACGAGAUGAUCACCGUUUUGCAACUAAGUAUUCUUGGAGCAUUAGAUGCAAAGGAGCUUAUUCCUAUGAUGAGAAAAAUAAUCGUUGGGAUCUUCUCUACACUUGGAAAAAGUGAGACGAAACUCUACAUUUAUAAUAUUCUGAGGAAUAAAUAACACAUCAUGAGGAGGAAUAAAUAAAUGAAAAGUCUCUUCCCUUCUCUUAUCUUGCAUUCGCUUAUUUCUAUUUCUUCUCUUGUUUAAUUCUUGUUAUUCAUUUUCUCUUAUUUCUUUUCCAUUACGUUACGUUAUGCUAGAGGAAAUUGAAUUUUGAACCCGUACUAAAACUGAAUCUUGAACUUAUUCUAACUCAGUCACCACAGGGCUAACCCCAAUGUCCUUGACUUUUAUUACUUCUCAUCACAAGUGUCUUUCGCAAUUAUUUUGUUUAGAGUAAAUUUAGAAUUUGCACUCAAGUUUAAAAUUCAUCCCCAAACUAAUUUCGUUAAUUUACGUUCCUAAUUAAAAUUAGAGAAAUUUCUUAGUGUAUUUUAAGUAUAUACAAAUCUUACGUCUCUCUUCAUGAGAUUUUAAAAGAAUUGAAUCAAUUUUUUACAUAGAAUUUUAAGAUUAUCUUAAAUUCCUAAUUGAAUACACACUAAACUUUGUUAUUACAAAAAUGUAAUCUUCCGAAUGUUCUAUUACAUUUAUCAGAUUUAGCCAAUCUGGAAAAUAUGUGCAUACUUUUUGUUACCGUUGGGGAGCCACGUGGCUUCCCCACGGCCGUUGGAUUUCAACGGAUAUAAAUUGUGAACCGUUGGAUUUCCAACAGUAAAAAAAAUAAAAAACUUCAUUUAAUAUCACCCGUUAGAUCUAAGAUCAACGGUCCACGUUAUUAGACUUAAAAAAUUAAAAAAAACAAAACAAAACAGUAAAAAAAUCAGAAAUAUUACCGUUGGGCCACGUGGCACAAUAUGGAGUGUUGGAAUUCAAAUUGGUUUAAAUCCAACGGUAUAGAUUAAUUAGGUGAAUAAAAAAUUUUAAAAAUUGUAAAAAAUUAUUAAAAAUCUGAAAAAAAAAAUUGAAAAAAAAAGAUUUUACUUUUCUAUAAAUACCUUCUCAUUAUCUUCUACCUUACACCACAAUUUCAUAUCUUCUCAAAGUUUGAAACCAAUUUCAUAUAUUGUCAAGUUUGAAUCCAAUUUCAUAGUUUUAUAUAUUUACUUUUCGGAUAAUGACACGUGGCGCGACGUGAUUAGUUAAAAAUCUUAACGGAAAUCCAUCACCAAUAAUUGUCUUUUCAGAUAAUGACACAUGGCACAACGAGAACGAUUAAAAAUCGUAUCUGAAAUUACGAAUAAAAUUAUUUUGUAUUAUUUUAUAAAUAAAAAAAAUUCUAAUAUUUUAUUGCUAUAUUCUUUUCGAUUAAUGACACGUGGCGCAACGAGAACGAUUAAAAAUCUUAUCCGAAAUUACAAAUAAAAUUAUUUUGUAUUAUUUUAUAAAUUAAAAAAAUAUUAAUAUUUUAUUGCCAAUUGCCAGGGCUAUUGAGUGCAGGGGUGGAGAUGCAAAAGGCAAUUAUUGUUCAUUAAAAACAGUUACUGUUCAUUGGAUGGAUAGCAUAAUGGAUUGUCUUAGGGACAAUGGACCACACUGGAACUGCUAUGAGAGAAAUGGUGAGGGGAGGCAGUAUGACCUCAAGAUUUAAAAUAAUAAAAUUGAUAAAGAAAGAUAGGGACAAGGGUCCUCUACGGAUCAAUUAUCUGCGAAUGCUUUGGAACCAACUAAUCGUAGCCGUUGAUACUAGAUCUUGCAGUCAAGAACCAUGUUUUAGUUUUCUUUGCCUUCUUUCUUCCUUGCCCAUUCUGUUGUUCUCCGUCUUUCUGUUGUUCUUCCUUGCCCAUUUCUUCUUGCUCAUCGUCUAUAUGUGGUUCUCCUUCAUAAUUUUAUAUGUUUUCCAGGAAAAAUUGUUAUGAGUCACCUCCAACAAAUGUCGAGUUUCUUUCUGAUAGUUCUUUGUCAUGCACACGAACCAUACGAAAAACAAAAACCAACAUUGACUCUGAACAAUAGCCGUUGCUUAAGGAUCUGAAUUUGAUUUGUAAGUCAUAGUCAUCACAAGGGCUCUCCUCGACAAAGCGAGAGAUCGAGUACAAUCACAAAAACUCUUCUCCUCUCAACAAAAAAGUGACCACAAACAAAAAAGAUUCAUGGAAAAAAAUAGAAGGAAAAAAUCAAGAGAGAUUGCCGUCGACCCCAAGACUAACAGCCAAGGUCAACAACGGAGUGAUUUUUCCUUUUAAGUUUUAUCAAGAUGGAUAUUUUACAUCUUUCUAUUAGAGAAUUUUUCGUCCAACAAAAAAAUGUAGAAUACAUAUUUCAAGUGGCCCUACUCAAGUUUCAUUCGGUGAGAUGAAAAAAUGAUCAACUCCACCGCUCCUAUUCAAUCUAGUCGAUGAAAAAAGGUGUGGCGGUGGGGUUUUUACUGGAAAUCAGGCCAUCUCCAACCGACCAUGCCAAAGGGUCAUAGGACUAAAAAUAGUCCGUUUUGACAUGAAAACCGUCUCCAACCGAGGGUUAGGCCAAAUGGCUCGUGGGCCCCACCCGUCCAAAGGGCUGGCCAAGAGCAACCAGCCCAACCUAAGCCUGACGUCAUGUUACUGUUUGACUUUUCUUUUCUUUUUUUUUCCUGACAAAUUUUGUUUUUAUAAAUACCUAAACCAUUUCUACCCCAUUACUCACAUCAUUUUUAUCAUUCCAUAUUAUCUUACCUCAUUUUAUUUCAAUUCAUCACCAAUUUUUCACAUCAUUUUGAUUAUAUAAAGAUAAGAAAUCUGAAAGGCUUAUUAAUUUAGUGACAAGUGGCACUUAAAAUAUGUCCGAAAACUUUAUUUUAAUAUGGUAGUUCAAUUCAAUUAACCAUAUUAAUUCAAUUAAAAUAAUAAAUUAUGUUUAACCUAUGACCUCAUGGCCCUCUCAAUUGAAGAUGGUUUUUUGUCAAAUGACUAUGUUUGUCCUAUGGCCCUUUGGCCUCCUCGGUUGGAGAUGAUAUAAAAUAUGGUAUGACACUGUUCAUUAAAAUAUUAAUUUAUUGCAGAAUUAUAGGGCUAUAAGGAGUCAUUUGGAUCUCCUUCGAUUGGAGAUGGCCUCAGUGAUCUUGGACACAAUCAACGCAAGAAGAAUGCAUGCACGGAUGUUGCACUGCAUCUCAAAUAUAAAUUGCCCAUUUAUGUAGUAGAUGGUGGUGGUGGGACAGUGAGACUGUUUGGGAUAAAAUCUGAACUUUGGGCCAGAGAGAAAGUCGGCCCAAACCCAAGGCCCAGAGGAAAACUUAGGAGGCAGGAAAGAGGCUUUCGGCUGGGCACAAGUUACAAAGGCCACCUGCUUACCUGCUCAAAGACCACAGGGGGUAGGCUAUUCAGUCACUACACAGCCCAAUAAAGUACUUUAUUGGUGGCAUUCAUGUAAAAAAGCUAGUGAGUCAUCACCAAACCGCAUUCGGGCACCGCUAUUGCUACAGGAACCCAAGCUGAAGUCGUCUAUAAAAGGAGGAAGAGAAGACAGAAUUAAGGACACUCAAACAAAUAAACAAAAGCCAAAACUCUGCUCAAGCCAGAUUUGCCUUCAACGAAGCUGUAGUCAGCACAAGCCUUCAUCCCAUUCGGGAUAAACCUUCCCAAACCCCUGUAAUAGCUCUGCUACCUUGUUCAUGGUGGUAUCGAUUCAUUUUGUAUCCUCUUCUCCCCCGUCAACCCUUCUAAAAGCUUUCAGACCUCUGACAGAGCCACAAAGAUAGAUUUUGUAAGAAGUUCAGCCUUGGCCAAUAAGGUUCAAACUUACCCGACUAUCUUUGCUCUGUCUUUGUCUUUUCUUUCUUUUAAAAGCACAAUAACAUGUUAUAUAUUCCCAGUUAUAUACAAGUUAUUUCUAGCAAAGUCAUAAUGAAAAUGAGUCUUCAGCACUUGAAUCCGAUCUGAAUCGCGUCAGAGUUCAAAUCAGAUCUAAGUCUUAAGCCCGGCGGACAUGUAAUUUAAAGAUCAGUUUAAAAGUCAUUGGCCUCAAGGCAUAAAAAAGAACUCUAUGUGGACUUAACCCAUCCACGACAAUCCUUGAUAAGCGAGAAGUCCGAAGUUACUUGGGGCGCAAGUAAUCAAUCUAUUUCUCCGUUUUGUUGCUAUUAUAUCUUGAUUCGUAGAAAAGGCUUAAGCAUGGAGUGAAUUCUGAUAGAAAGCCUCAAGGCCUACACCUAAGGCCCCACGAAGGCAUCUAUUUAGCUUCAUUUCAUGUUGCGGUCUAGUUGGUCCGAGUAUAAGGAUUAACUCUGAUGGGAAGCCUCAAGGCCUAUACCUAAGGCCCUACAAAGGCACUCAUUUGGGUUCGUCCUACCUCUUGGAUUCAGAUAAUCAAAGGUAUAAUAGUGAUAAGACUCUGGCAACCAUAAAAGACCAAAUAUGAUACAUCCAAGCGCUGGUUUAGUUUGACAGGAAGCCUCAAGGCCUAUACCUAAGGCCCCACAAAGGCACCUGUUAUAUCUAACUUGGUUUCUCGGGCGUAUACAUAUUCAAUCAAAGCUUAACACCCAUUCAACAUCUGCCAUACUGAAGAUGGCAGUGGCACGCCUGAGCACGACAAAGUUAAUCUUGAUUGUGAGCCUUAAGGCCUACACCUAAGGCCCCACAAAGGCACCCUUUCAAAUUAACUUUGUCCUUCUCUUUCAGAACUGCCCGACGAGCCUUGCCCGAAGUGUGUCUUGCCCGACCAAGAUCUGCCCGACAAAGGCUUGCCCGAGCGAGCCCGAGAAGAAAGCAGAAGUACAACAGAUACCCUCAACCGACGCCAUUCUCCCAGGGGAGCUGUGUGCUCGUCCGCCAGGAGAUUCCUGCGACGAACAGAGACAAUUGUGCGUCAAUGGUAAAUUUCCUCUAUGUGACUCCUAUUUUAACCCAAGGUAAAAUCACAUAUUUAGUUAGUAAACAACCACACCUAGGGUUUAGGGUUAAACAUCACAUAUUUAUAAGGCAAAAAGAUAAAUCUUACAGAACCAUUAAUUUUAUUUGGUUAAAUUGGAGGGUAUUCAUUCUGAAUCUUCUUAGCCAUAGCUUAUUAUGACGGUGCUCAUUAGUUUUGGUCAUCGUUGUGGUGUUCUAAUUAAAUCGAUGAUACAUCUUGCCCUAACUUGCUCCCGCAUCGAGCAGGCACAACAUACAUCUUGUUUUUGCAUUGUCCGCAUUGUGCGUACAUCUUGUUUUUCCUUUUACCAUGAGGCUCAUGCCUACUCGAUGCAGGAGCAAGCUGGGGCAAGAGCUAGAUUGGACGAUAAUAUGGAAGGAUAGGAAUGGUUGACCGAAUCUGAUUUGGAAUUGUACAUAUCGUCUACAACACUCGACUUUUGAGUGCAUCAUAGUGAGUUUAAUAAAAUAUCAUAUCUCACGCUAAAAAAAAUUUGAUAAAGAACUUUACAAGAUGCCGAGAUGCUCAAAACCGAUCUGGUAACCGAAUGUUGAGCCUUCUAAGCCAUAUCGAGUGGAGCACGAUGUGAAAUACGCCAUAGGGCUUAGCUGUUCGCUUGAGCUCAAAGUGCCUUUUUACUUGCAUCACCCUCUUCUGCAAUUUCAAGUACCUUGAGUAAGGAACAGCUUUCAGUAUUGUCUUGAUUUCUGAUAUUCUCUUGGACGGAAUUUGUAUCGAAAACUUGCUCCAAUCAAGAACAUCAUCAAAUGGUACUGCAUAGUAGUCAGAAAUCAACACCAGGACACACCCUGCAUGCAUUGCCUCCACAACUCUAAGACUUGCCACUUCAGACCCACUUGGGCACAAGCAGAACUUGGUUUGUCCCAUUAGUUUGUGGUAGUUCAGGUCCCUAGGGAGCUUUUCGUAAACUCGAACUUCAUCAUCUUUUUCCUUCCCAUGCCCAAACAGAAUGCUUCUGAUUUCUCCAAGAGCAGCAUCGGCAAAGAAGGCAAGGAGUGGACACUUGUCUGGGGGUUCUCCGAGGCGUGGUGGCCCAAGGUCAAAGGCUUUUAGGUUAUAUUCUAGCAAUGAGACGUCUCUAGUAGGCUUGAAUCCUGCAGAGGUGUUUG